rnacentral:rRNA from 1 species
AGAGUUUGAUCCUGGCUCAGAACGAACGCUGGCGGCAGGCUUAACACAUGCAAGUUGAACGUGAUUUGUUUGGUGCUUGCACCGAGCAAUGAAAGUAGCGCACUGGUGAGUAACACGUGGGAACGUACCUUUUGGUGGGGAACAACAGUUGGAAACGACUGCUAAUACCGCAUAAGCCCUGAGGGGGAAAGAUUUAUCGCCGAAAGAACGGCCCGCGGAAGAUUAGGUAGUUGGUGGGGUAACGGCCUACCAAGCCGACGAUCUAUAGCUGGUCUGAGAGGACGAUCAGCCACAUUGGAACUGAGACACGGUCCAAACUCCUACGGGAGGCAGCAGUGAGGAAUAUUGGGCAAUGGAGGCAACUCUGACCCAGCCAUGCCGCGUGAGUGAAGAAGGUUUUCGGAUUGUAAAGCUCUUUCGGGUGUGACGAUGAUGACGGUAGCACCUAAAGAAGCCCCGGCUAACUUCGUGCCAGCAGCCGCGGUAAUACGAAGGGGGCAAGCGUUGUUCGGAAUUACUGGGCGUAAAGGGAGUGUAGGCGGUUAUGUAAGAUAGUGGUGAAAUCCCAGAGCUUAACUUUGGAAUUGCCAUUAUGACUAUGUGGCUAGAAUUACAGAGAGGAUAGUGGAAUACCCAGUGUAGAGGUGAAAUUCGUAGAUAUUGGGUAGAACACCAGUGGCGAAGGCGACUAUCUGGCUGUAUAUUGACGCUGAGGCUCGAAAGCAUGGGGAUCAAACAGGAUUAGAUACCCUGGUAGUCCAUGCUGUAAACGAUGAGUGCUUGUUGUCGGUAUUGUAUCGGUGACGAAGUUAACGCGUUAAGCACUCCGCCUGGGGAGUACGGUCGCAAGAUUAAAACUCAAAGGAAUUGACGGGGACCC